UACAAUGGUGACGGAAAUAGACUUGCCACCUUCCUAAACUACAAAGAUGAGCCUGAUGCUUUCAAAAGAUUAGGCACUGGAAAUCGUGUGGCAACUUUUUUGAACUACAUGAGUGAUGUUGAGGCGGGAGGUGCCACGGUCU